ACCGGCCCGUGGGAAAGCUGCUCGGAGGCGUGGGGCGCGCUGCUGACUGGUACGGGGGCGAGCGGACCGGCUGCUUCGUGGCGACCUCACUCGGGGAGAAAGCCCGCAUGGAGCCAGGACCUUGGGAUCCGGUCGCUUCCAGGCCUUGGGCUGCCCCACUGCUAAGGUGCCGCUGUUCGUUUUACAGUGAGCAGUGAUCUGGGGGAAGAUGCAGGAGGCGACUUAAAUAGCAUUUCCCAAUGAAGCUGUGCCAGUGGUAUAGCAUCCCGUCAAUGCGGCCCUGUGGUGGCUGCCAAAGGGGGCGGUACCAGGGAUCGAACUCAGGACCUUGAGCUUGUGAAGCAGGCAGCAGAACCACUGAGCUAAAUCCCCGGCCCUCCGCCACUCUUUUAAGUUCUAUAAAAUAGACUUCUAUGCACCUUGAAGACUACAAAUAUGCACUCAUAAAAGCCUGAUUCUCUUACUUUUUCCCAGUCCUAGGGAUCCCAAUUCCCCACUUCUGAUGGCACAGCGCACUGUGUAGCAGACUGUUGGCAGACUGGGUGCUGUUAACCUGUGGCGUCUGCAAGCACACGGCUGCACACACUCAGACUGGGCCCCCGCGGUGCACAGGGUGGGUCCAGGCAUGCGUGCACUUGGGCUGCUGUGACUGGUACUGCUAAGGUGCUGUGUAAAGGGCUGAAGGAAGCUGUCAUCCUACCAGUUCAGUCUGCCUCGCCAACAGAGGUGCGGCUGCACUUCUCUGCGCCAGGGACUCGUGAAUUUGUGCUCAGCCCUGCCACCUUUCCGAACAGAGCCCCUUCCUGCACAGCGGCUGCCCAGCAGGGGCCACACAGCUGAGCAUAGGGGCUCAGGAGAAGCACAUGCUCCGUUAGGGGCGUCAGCUCCGUCGUCCUCAGUGAAGUCAGGGAGAAGCCAGACACUAUGCUGAACCACAAUCUAAACAAGAAGCAAAUUUAGAAAUCAAAUCUGAUCUCCUUCGGGAGAGGGGCGGUUAUUUUUAAAGUGGAGUCUUACAGAGGAAAUGACAGCAGAAGACUACACAUCGGUUCAGCUGAGAAAGACGGGAGUAGCCUUGAUAAGAGUGGAACUGCUUUUGUCAACUGGGGCCCUGCCCAUUAUUUCAAUGAACAAUUUCAUUGUGCUACUUCCUUUGCAGAGGGUGCACUUUUAAAGUUACACGUAGAAGGGCUGGGGAUUUAGCUCAGUGGUUCCGCCUGCCUCACAAGUGCAAGGACCCGAGUCCAAUCCCUGGGACCCCCAAAAUAAAUAAAAUAAAGUUACACUUAGGUAGUUAUACUAGCAGCUUCAUCACAGUACCUACUGUGUGAAGAUAUCUACGGGGAAAGACAGAAAGGGAGAGAAAGUAGGAGCUUUCUGAGUGGACACGUGGACGGGAACAGAGGCUUGCUUGGAAGAGAAUGGCCCACUUCACUUCUGCGUGGAGCCACUCCCUGUCCAGCUGGCAAUAAUUGCUCAUUUUGUGUUUCCAAAAUAAAAUAAAGCCUUGGCUUAUGCUUCUGUUAAAAAAUAAAAUAAAAAGUUGUACUGGUAACCAAGAACACAGACAACUUGAACAAGCGUGGGGCCUGAUAAGAGAAAAAUUCUGAGGUGCACUUAAGGCUGAUUACAGGGAUAGAAGGAAAGAGAGAUUUAGUUAACGGCACAGAGGCUGUAUGCUGUUCCUCAAUGUGUGCUAAACCUGCUUCCCACCCCACCGCCCCAGUGCAGGAACUCCUGGACUGCCCGCCCACACCCAAUUCACUAGCAUUUCUCUACCCUCCUUAUCCAGCCGGUGUGCGUUCUGUGUAAACAAUGGAGGUUUUCCUUCCUCAAAUUUUCUCUAGAAAAAUACUCGAGUCAGCAAUGGCAACGUGACCUGUAGUGCCAGCUACUCAGGAGGCUGAAGCAGGAGGAGCACUUGGGCUCAGAAUUUCGAGACUUUAGCCAUACAAAUGCCUCCAGCCUGGCAGAAGUUCGGUUGACCCCUCCUCCCCAAGAAAGAGCCAAUUUUGCAUUUAUUAAGCAAAUCAUCUCAGCGUUCCUGAUGGCCUGCAUUUACUUCUGACUUUUGGAUUCAUCUCUGAACCAUCUGUGCAUCUUAUACACACCCUAAUUAACAGGUUAAAGUCUACUUUUUUGUUGUUGUUUAUUGAGUCAGGGUCUCACUAUGUACUUGAGAGUGACCUGAAACU